rnacentral:lncRNA from 1 species
ACGACUCGGGCUCUUUUUUUUUCCUUUUUUUCUUUUCUCUUUUUUUUUUCUACUGCUGGGCUAGGCUAGCUGCUGCUGGCCUGCUUGCUACUGGGCUGGGCGCUGUUGGGCCUGCUGCUACUGCUAGGUUGGCCUGCUAGGCGCUGCUGGGCCUAGACUGGAGUGGGCCUGCUAGGUGCUAGGUCAGACCUCUGCUGGGCUGCUUGCUAUUGGGCCUCUGCUGGGUUAGGCCUGCUGCCUUUUAUUUUUUUUCUUUUUUUUGGGUCGUAUCUGGGCUUACUAAAAAUGGGCCUGCUGGAUGUUGAGUUGGGCGCUGGGUUGGAACGGAUUGUGGGUCGGGUCAGAUCCAAGUCAGGUCAGGUCGGGUCGACCCGACUGCUCUUUAUUUUUUUCUUAUUUUUUUCUUUUUCUUCUUCUUCCUUUCUUUUCUUUUUCCUCUUUUCAAACCCUAGACCAUUUUUUUCGCCGCCGAUUCUUGCUCUCGGUGGUGCAACAGCGGUCGCAGUGGUAAAGGGCGGCAGUGGGCACGACCGUGCUAUUUUUUUGAUUUUUUUCUUUUUUUCUUGCACUCUUUUGAUUUUUUUUUCCUUUGGCUUACUUGUGUUUGGCGAUAGUGGUGUGACGGCUGAGUGGUAAAGGGCGACAGUGGGUACAACGGUGAGGCAGCGUGUUUUUUUUUUGCUACUGUUUUUGUUGUUUUUUUUCCUUUGAUUUUGUUUGCUUUUUUGUUCUUUUUUUUGUUGAUUGGCUCCUUUUUUUGUUACUUCUUGGUGUUUUAUUGCUGAUUUUCUUUCCUUGCAGGUAGAACCUGAGGAGGUGGGCUACCACCCAUACCGACCGCCGGAAAUCGCAGAGCGUAGGUGCGCAAAUUGUGCCCUUGUGCUAGAAGGACUAGAUUGUAAAUGUGAAAAAAUUUUGGGGCCAAAAUGUAAUUUUAUGAAAAUUUAAGGUUAAAAGGUAAUUUUAGGAAAAUUAAG